UACGGGGGGGGCAAGCGUUGUUCGGAAUUACUGGGCGUAAAGGGCUCGUAGGCGGCCAACUAAGUCAGACGUGAAAUCCCUCGGCUUAACCGGGGAACUGCAUCUGAUACUGGAUGGCUUGAGUUCGGGAGAGGGAUGCGGAAUUCCAGGUGUAGCGGUGAAAUGCGUAGAUAUCUGGAGGAACACCGGUGGCGAAGGCGGCAUCCUGGACCGACACUGACGCUGAGGAGCGAGAGCCAGGGGAGCAAACGGG
rnacentral:rRNA from 1 species